ACUAAAUAAACCGGCUCAAAUGUCUCGACUCGGAUCGGACUGGAGGAUGUGGGCUGUUCCUGGAGCCCGGUGGUUGUGUCGAAGACAGAAUGCUGAUAUUGGAUGGCGCUUUCUGGCUGCUGUUGGCUUUCAGCUAUUGAAAAAGGUGCCCCGGGCGAUGCGAUUCAGCCAAGGACUAAAUAAACGCCAGUUUUUUUGGAGUGUACCAAUAUAACUUGGACAGAAAUUUAUUUCAAAAUCUGCAAGAUGUUAAGGCUGUCGUGAUACAUUAGAUUCUCGUGGAAACUUUUCCUACGCAAAGGUUCCGGCGUUCCCUGGCUGAGACUUUCGGAGCAGUGCCGCGCUCGGAGGCUUUUGGAUUCCAACGCUGCUGCUAACUGUGAUGGCAGUCCAAACGUACCAUAUAGCGGUGCCGGUUCGGCUGACUAUGAACUCGGAACGGCCACUUUCCGCAGCUAUUGUCGGUUUACGGGGUGCUUUCGAAACACGUGGCGUAUACCAGUUCAAAUCUUUCUUCGUGUUGAUGUUUUUGUUUGUGAAGUUUUCGUGUAAGAUACGAUAUAUGUUCCAAUAAGUAUUAUCAAGUAUUAUCAUCAUGUUUAUAUUGACAGUCAAAUUGACUGAUUUUGUUAUACAAAACUAAAACAAAAUCGAAUAAAAGUUUGAUGCGAUUUGAUUUUAGUAUUGAUAUGUAUGGAAAAACACAUUUUUUGUUACUAUUCGAAAAUUACUCCAAUAAGAAAAAAGCGAUCAAUUUUGAAAUUUUCAGCUUAGUAAAUGGUUUGUCGGCCUGGUCUACAUGCGUGGGUAUAUCGAUCAUAGAAAAAAACAUACCGAUCAAAAUCAAUUAAGAACAUGAAUAUAAAAUUAAAGAUUACAAUAUAAAAAACACCAUUUAAAUAUCAUCUGAAUCGAAGAUUACCAUCUGUUAAAAGAGUUUAACUAUUUUAUAACAGAUUUAUAAGACUUUCUCAUAGUUUAACUACAAAUUCGAUUAAAUUUUAGAGGUUUUCAUAAAAAUCAGAACAAUUCAGGACAUUUAGGCACCAAUUUUUAAAACUCAGGACAACUCGAGAGUUUUUAAAAGAUUAAGACGGUCUCUCGAAAAUCAGGACAAAUCCCGAUAAAUUAGGUUACCUGGCACCUCUGAGCACAAGAGAAACAACAACAACAACUGAACAAUUGUAAUGCACGUCAGAGGUACCAGGUGUCCUGAUUUUUCAGGACUUGUCCUGACUUUCGAGAGGUUGUCCUGAUUUUUCUAAAACUUUCGAAUUUUCCUGAUUUUUGACAAUUUGUUUUCAAAAUGUUGAAUUGUCCUGGAUGUCAAAAAAAUCUAAAAUCACAAUCGAAUUUGUAAUUGAACUAUGAAAACUACGAACAAAUCGGUUAUGUCCUGAUUUAUGACAAAACCACCUGGAACCCCUUAUUUACGUACAUAACUAUAACUAUGCCCAGGGUGUAAGGUGUCCUGAUUUUUCAGGAUUUGUCCUGAUUUUCGAGAGGCCGUCCUGAUUUUCGAGAGGCCGUCCUGAUUUUUGAAAAACGCUUGAAUUGUCCUAAUUUUUGAAAA